rnacentral:lncRNA from 1 species
UGGCUGAUAAAUGAACAUCAGCAUGGAAAUGAAUGGUGGUGUAUUUUCCCUUGGCACUGUUUUACAUUUUGUUGUCAUUUUGUUAAUAUUCCAUUCCUUUGAUUUUUCAUUUUAGCCGUUCCUCAGUUUUUUCUUCUCUUUCUCCAUUUCAACUUAUCUAUAUUGUUUAAUUCUUGAUUUUGAGGAACUUGAAACUGCAUCUUUGUUUUAAAGAAAAAUUAAAAGCCAAGUUGUGUUGAGUUGUCCCAUAUCGGAGGAAUUUGAGGUCCUUGGUCUCCUUAUAUGGCUUGGGCAAUCCUCACCUCAUAAGCUAGCUUUUGGGGUUGAGUUAGGCCCAAGGUCCAUUCUUAUCAAGUUGGUCAACCAAGGACAAUAUUGCCAUUUUAAUCUAACCCGUGCUUGCUCAGCAAAAAACACGUAUUAAAGUAUUCAUUCGAUUUCCUCCUGUUCGAUCGAACAAAUACAGAAAUACUAAAAUGUUCCAUUCCUUUGAUUUUUCAAUUUAGUCGUUCCUAAGUGUUUUUUUUCUCUUUCUCCAUUUCAACUUAUUUACAUUUGUUUAUUUUUGAAGAACUUGAACUUGCAUUUUUGUUUUUUUAAAAAUAAAAUAUAAUUCAUUCUCCAGUUUGAGAUCAAUAAACCAUUGUUUCGGUUUAUUUCAUUCUCUGCCGAUCUUCCUACUUCCAUGGGUGGUUGGCUGUGUUUUUUGGUUGUAUUGUUUUCUUUUUAUUGAUUGAUUUUAAACUUGGCUAAUAUGUAAUAUAAAUUAUGCUUGAAUUUGGUUCGUUGGCUACAUAUUCGAGUAAGCAACCUUGUUCCACUCCAAUACUUAUAAUCCAUCAUAGUUUCCUUGGUAAGUUCAAUGCAUCUAUAUCUUAAAUGUUUCGAUCUCUAAUUAUCUCAACAUAAUACUUUAUAUACUUCAUCAACGUACCAACAUCUAUGCGUUAUCACUUAGUCAGACUAUUGUUUAAUUUAGUUUACAAAAUAAUCGAAAUUAAUUCAAUAUUUUAUUUGUGUUUUUUAUUUAUCACUAUAGUUUUUGAAAAUAGACAAGAGGGGUUGCUCCGAUAGUAAGUAACCUCCACUUCCAACCAAGAGGUUCUAAGUUCGAUUCUCCCCAAGAACAAGAUGGAAGUUCUUAGAGGGAAAGAUGCCGGUUUUCUAUUUGAAAACUGCCUUUCUACCCCAUGGCAGGGUACAAAGUACCAUUUCGAGACCCCACUAAGUGGAAUUAUACUGAAUUAUUGUUGUUGUUGUGAUUUUUCAAAAUAUUAAUUUUUAAAGCUAAUGAUUUUUCUUUUGUUUCUACUUUUGAGUCUUUAGUGUAGUUGUACCUUGUUAGAGAAAAAAAUUGUCAUUUAUUAUUCUUUGAUUUCAUGGCAAAACUGACCCUUCGGAUCCUCUUAGCAUUGAAUUUUAUUGGUGUCUACUUUAUUCAACGAGCCGAGACUAUACUCGUUUUUGUUUGAGUUACAUAUAUGCAGUGGAACAAUUUUUUUGGACAUAAUUGCUGGAAAAUUCUUUCAACAUAAUUUUAACUAUUUAUCAAUCUUGAUUGCGGUCUCAUAUUUUGUUAACUUCUUUCAAAUUACAGUAGAUAAGAGGGGUUUCUCUAAUGAUAAGCAACUUUUACUUCCAAUCAAGAGAUUGUGAGUUCGAGUCUUCCCAAGAGCAAGGUGGAAAAUUCUUGAAGUGAAGGAUGUCGAGAUCUAUUUGGAAACAGUCUCUCUAACCCAGGGUAGAGGUAAGCUGUCCGUAUAUACUACCCUCCCUAGACCCCAUUAAAUGAGAUUAUACUGAGUUGUUAUUGUUUCUUUCAGAUUACAAGCACUUGAGAGGCUUUUAACAAAAUAUGUUAUUAUGAGUAUGUACAGAUAUCUCUUUGUUAACCAAGUAUCAAGCAUCAGGUUUAUGAUUUAGCAUCGAGUUUUAGGAUUCGAUAUUGCGAGAAAUGCAUGUUUUAGGGAGGGAUGAUCCAGCGUAAAUUGGAAGCAGAGAACGAUGAUAGCCAACGAGGUUUCAAAAGGUAUGAUUUAUUAAUCUAUGACAUAUUUCUUUUCCUAUCGCAGGACACCAUGAGAUAAAACCAAGACAUCCUGAUGAGAGAAGUUUGAUAUUAAGGUUUCAAGAUUCAAUCUUGUAAAAUCAGGUUUGGUGGAAUCAAUCUUAUGCUAGGAAGUAGUACGGACACUACAACACCUUGAUCAUUUUCCGUUUGUUUUAUUACCCAAAGGGUCAUCCUUAACUCGAAUUCAUGUUUGAUGUCUUGAAAUUUUCAUUUUAUUUUUUUCAGUCCAGGCGCAUAUUCG